AUUGAACGCUGGCGGCAGGCCUAACACAUGCAAGUCGAACGGUAACAGGAAGAAGCUUGCUUCUUUGCUGACGAGUGGCGGACGGGUGAGUAAUGUCUGGGAGACUGCCGGAUGGAGGGGGAUAACUACUGGAAACGGUAGCUAAUACCGCAUAACGUCGCAAGACCAAAGAGGGGGACCUUCGGGCCUCUUGCCAUCGGAUGUGCCCAGAUGGGAUUAGCUAGUAGGUGGGGUAACGGCUCACCUAGGCGACGAUCCCUAGCUGGUCUGAGAGGAUGACCAGCCACACUGGAACUGAGACACGGUCCAGACUCCUACGGGAGGCAGCAGUGGGGAAUAUUGCACAAUGGGCGCAAGCCUGAUGCAGCCAUGCCGCGUGUAUGAAGAAGGCCUUCGGGUUGUAAAGUACUUUCAGCGGGGAGGAAGGGAGUAAAGUUAAUACCUUUGCUCAUUGACGUUACCCGCAGAAGAAGCACCGGCUAACUCCGUG
rnacentral:rRNA from 1 species